GAUGAACGCUGGCGGCGUGCCUAAUACAUGCAAGUCGAGCGAACGGACGAGAAGCUUGCUUCUCUGAUGUUAGCGGCGGACGGGUGAGUAACACGUGGAUAACCUACCUAUAAGACUGGGAUAACUUCGGGAAACCGGAGCUAAUACCGGAUAAUAUUUUGAACCGCAUGGUUCAAAAGUGAAAGACGGUCUUGCUGUCACUUAUAGAUGGAUCCGCGCUGCAUUAGCUAGUUGGUAAGGUAACGGCUUACCAAGGCAACGAUGCAUAGCCGACCUGAUAGGGUGGUCGGCCACACGGGAGCGGAGACACGGUCCAGACUCCUACGGGAGGCAGCAGUAGGGAAUCUUCCGCAAUGGGCGAAAGCCUGACGGAGCAACGCCGCGUGAGUGAUGAAGGUCUUCGGAUCGUAAAACUCUGUUAUUAGGGAAGAACAUAUGUGUAAGUAACUGUGCACAUCUUGACGGUACCUAAUCAGAAAGCCACGGCUAACUACGUG
rnacentral:rRNA from 1 species